GCCGGUGUAGCUCAGUCGGUAGAGCAACUGAUUCGUAAUCAGUAGGUCGGGGGUUCGAUUCCUCUCGCCGGCACCA
rnacentral:tRNA from 3 species